GUCUCUAUGGCACAAUUGGUCAGCGCGUUCGGCUGUUAACCCGAAAAGUUUGGUGGUUCAACCCCACCCAGGGACG
rnacentral:tRNA from 1 species